CUUCAAUUGUUUUUUUCUUUUUACAGUUACAACAUUGUCAUUUUUUGAGGCAUUGAUGGCUUCUCCAGAAAGAUCAUGUACCUUGGAACAUCAAAUGACAACUGUUCUUCUACUACACUGGCAUUCUUCAGAGAGUCUGUCCAACAGUUUGGAUACCCACUCAGAGUGAGAGCAGACCAUGGUGUGGAGAAUUGUGGGGUGGCGGAGCUCAUGUUGACUGUGCGUGGGCCUAACAGUGGCAGCUUCAUUUCAGGCAAAAGUGUGCACAAUCAACGCAUUGAACGGUUGUGGAGAGAUGUCUGGAUGGCAGU